AGAAACUUAGGAUAAUUAAGACCAGGAGCCUUCAAAGCCCCAAGUAGAAGUUAAAAUCUUCUAGUUUCUG
rnacentral:tRNA from 1 species